GACGAACGCUGGCGGCGUGCUUAACACAUGCAAGUCGAACGGAAAGGCCCUGCUUUUGUUGGGUGCUCGAGUGGCGAACGGGUGAGUAACACGUGAGUAACCUGCCCUUGACUUUGGGAUAACUUCAGGAAACUGGGGCUAAUACCGGAUAGGAGCUCCUGCUGCAUGGUGGGGGUUGGAAAGUUUCGGCGGUUGGGGAUGGACUCGCGGCUUAUCAGCUUGUUGGUGGGGUAGUGGCUUACCAAGGCUUUGACGGGUAGCCGGCCUGAGAGGGUGACCGGCCACAUGGGGACUGAGAUACGGCCCAGACUCCUACGGGAGGCAGCAGUGGGGAAUAUUGCACAAUGGGCGGAAGCCUGAUGCAGCAACGCCGCGUGCGGGAUGCCGGCCUUCGGGCUGUAAACCGCUUUCGCAUGUGACGAAGCGUGAGUGACGGUAAUGGGUAAAGAAGCACCGGCUAACUACGUG
rnacentral:rRNA from 1 species